rnacentral:rRNA from 1 species
UGCCAGCAGCCGCGGUAAUACGUAGGGGGCAAGCGUUGUCCGGAUUUACUGGGCAUAAAGCGCACGUAGGCGGAUUGGAAAGUCGGUUGUGAAAGCCCGGGGCUCAACCCCGGAAUUGCUUCUGAAACUUCCAGUCUUGAGGGUGAGAGGGGAGAGUGGAACUUCUGGUGGAGCGGUGAAAUGCGUAGAGAUCAGAAGGAACACCGGUGGCGAAAGCGACUCUCUGGCUCAUUUCUGACGCUGAGGUGCGAAAGCUUGGGUAGCGAACAGGAUUAGAUA